AUUGAACGCUGGCGGCAGGCUUAACACAUGCAAGUCGAGCGGAGAUGAGGUGCUUGCACCUUAUCUUAGCGGCGGACGGGUGAGUAAUGCUUAGGAAUCUGCCUAGUAGUGGGGGACAACAUUCCGAAAGGAAUGCUAAUACCGCAUACGUCCUACGGGAGAAAGAAGGGGAUCUUCGGACCUUGCGCUAAUAGAUGAGCCUAAGUCGGAUUAGCUAGUUGGUGGGGUAAAGGCCUACCAAGGCGACGAUCUGUAGCGGGUCUGAGAGGAUGAUCCGCCACACUGGGACUGAGACACGGCCCAGACUCCUACGGGAGGCAGCAGUGGGGAAUAUUGGACAAUGGGGGGAACCCUGAUCCAGCCAUGCCGCGUGUGUGAAGAAGGCCUUAUGGUUGUAAAGCACUUUAAGCGAGGAGGAGGCUACUGAGACUAAUACUCUUGGAUAGUGGACGUUACUCGCAGAAUAAGCACCGGCUAACUCUGUGCCAGCAGCCGCCGUAACAC
rnacentral:rRNA from 1 species